rnacentral:misc_RNA from 1 species
AACGCACAUUGCGCCCAUUGGUAUUCCGAUGGGCAUGCCUGUUCGAGCGUCAUUAUCCUCCCUCAAACCUCUUUUGUGUUUGGUGUUGGGCCACGCCCCCUUAGCUUUCACGAGCGGGCGGCGGGCCCCAAAGGCAAUGACGGCGUCCGUGGGACCCUCGAUGCAACGAGCUUCAUUCUUGUGAGCACGUGUCGAGUUGCAAGGACCCCCGGGCCCGGUCGACCCCUCCUUUUAGGGGACAUUUAUCUUCCAGGUUGACCUCGGAUCAGGUAGGAAUACCCGCUGAACUUAA